rnacentral:lncRNA from 1 species
CAAGAUAAGUACUGCUGCCUGAAGGAUGGUUUGGGAUCAUGUGUUCAGGAGUGCGACUCCAAGAUCAAAUACUACUGCUGCCUCAAGACUGGACUCGGCGGCUGCAAGCAACUCUGCGAGACCAAUGUCGAAUACUUCUGCUGCCUCAAGAACCCUUUUGGUACCUGCUUUCAGCUGUGCGACUCGUCCAAGGAACACUACUGCUGCAAGAAGAACGUUUCUGGUUCCUGCGUUGGAAUGUGCCCCAAAACGGUGAACCUGAUGAAGUGAUCUGCGUUUGAUGACAAGUGUAAGCAACAUCUAAAAGCUUAUAAUUGCUGAUACUCUCUACAACUUUUAUAUUUUUACAAGAUUUUCGCUAUACUUUUACUUUUUUCAACUGAGUUUGUAAGGUAGCUUGCCAUGCCACUGCUGCUGGAUCGUCCAUUGGGAGACAAGUAGCUUUGAACAAGUCCUCAUUCUAGUUCACGUCGCUCAGCACCAGGUCGCCAUCGCUGGUAAAGCUGAGGUACGCUCCUUCCGGGACGGUUUUCGCGUAGCUCGCCAUGUCAGCGCUGCUAGAUAGUAGAGAUUGAAACUCUCCUUGUCGUCCAUGGCGUAGAAGACUGACAAGUAGAACUGGAACUCUUGGGAGGUUUGCUCCCAGCAGCUAAGUAGGAGGCAGGAAGGGGUGCUAAAGCCAAGGCUAAUUCGAAAUAUCUGGAGUGGAUUCGAGAGUGGAGCUUGGAGGAAGAUGGCGCUUCCAGUGACAUUGGAAGCUUUGUGUGGUCGACCAACACAGGAGGAUCUGGAGCGCAAGUCUUGGCCCUCGAGAGCUCUGGAAAUCUCGUCAUCCGGAGCAAAAUUGGAGAUUUCCUGUGGCAGAGCUUUGAUCAUCCCUGUGAUGCUGUGCUCCCUGGGAUGAAGUUAGUAGCCAGCAUCUCUAAGGAGAACAAAGAGCCAGGGUACUUCUCACUCGAGGUAGCCGCUUCUCGGUCGCUUUGAACUCCAGUAUGUUGAGAAUCUUUUGGAGAGGUCUGGAGCUCCGAUGAGGAAGAAGAAGAGAUAUCAUUUCUCUUCCUCGUCAAUAGCAGCUUGGAAAUCCACGGGACGAAAGGUGUUAUGUGGUCCACUCCAACGAUCGGUGGUGUUACUGAUCAAUCAGGGCACCAGUUCCUCAAGAUCUACUCGAAUGGAGAGCCCCGGUUUACCUCGAGAUCAUUCAGCACCGGCAACAGCACGAAGAGCAUCAACUUAAACCCGCUCUUCUUUGGGAAAAGCUCGCUUACUCGAACCUGUGGGAUCUCGUUCGAGACAGCUGAAGGAUACCUCUGCAUCGUUCACGAAGUACGUUUCUUCCGGGGACAAGGAGGGAUGCAAGCACCUGGAAGAACCUGCGAGAACUCGCAACAUCACUACAUGCUCGAAGCCACAGUACGAUACUUCUACAAACCUCUAGAUUUAUCCAGUGCGCUCCACAACGUCACUCCAGCAGCGUGCAUGGCCCUGUGUAUCAAAAACUGUUCCUGCAAAGGGGUGCUAAGCCAGGAGAAACAACUACCUGUUUCCAGAUGACCGAAGUUUUUUCUCUGAACAAAACUCGCAACGUCGUCGAUGAAGCUUUGCUGUUUUCGAUCAAGUUGUACCAAGCUGGAGAUCUUCCAAAGCUCUCAACACCAGGCAACUCACAAAGUCGCCAAGUAGCAAAAACAGGCAAAGCCAGCCAUCGUCGCGGUUUUCUCUGUGGCGACCAUGGCUAUAAUCAUCAUCGCAAUGGUGACCUGGAAGAAACAGAUAAACUCGUACCUCAAACACUACAAACCAUCGUUGGUGCGCGUCUUUAAUUACCCGGAGCUCCUCACUGCAACCAAAGCCUUCAGUGCGAAAAUCGCAAGUGGAGGCGUUGGCACGGUUUUCGAAGGGAUACUCUCCGUUGCCGUGAAACGGCUGGAGAGCUUCUCGAGCCAAGGAUACAAACAGUUCAAGGCGGAGGUGAGAGCGAUCGGAAUCAUCCAUCACAAGAACCUUGUAAGACUCAAAGGCUUUUUUUCCCAGGAAUCACACUACUUCCUGGUUUACGAGUACGUAGCAAACGGGUACAAGCCGCGGGAAGACACGAGAUUCAAGAUAGUCGAGGAGAUUGCUCGAGGGAUGUGCUACCUCCACGAGGAAUGCAGCACUAGAGUUCUGCACUUGGACAUCAAGCCGCAAAACCUACUCCUGGACGAAAACUUUGGUGUCAAGAUAGCAGAGUUUGGACUGUCGAGGAUGGUAGAGCAAGGAGAUCUAAGCGAUGUCAUGACAAUGAUCUGAGGAACACCCGGAUACAUGGCUCCGGAAUGGUUGCAGAUGCGAGUGAGAGACAAACUGGACAUCUACAGCUUUGGGAUCCUUGUGCUGGAAGUGGCGCUUUCCAUACCUGUGUGUCUUGCGGGAGGAGCCCAAAGUUCCUGGCGGUUUGAGAAGCUUCGGUCUGGGAAGUUAAUGGAGAUGUUAGAAGAGAAGAGGGCGCGGCAAGAAAUGGAGGCUACCUCUAAGGCCGAGAAGCUGCUUCGCAUUGGAGUGUGGUGCAUCCAACCGGAUUCUCAGCCAAAUUGUGGGAAUCCACUGACACUCAUAGAUUUUGUAUGAGAGGCACCAUUCUAUCGAGAUUUAGUGGCACCAAAGCAGCGCCCGCCCUGCAAGUGCCCUAAGAUUCUUCGAGGAUAUUAUUUAUUAUUUAGAUCCAGGCUUAGUUUGUUAUAUUUUUGUUUAGUUAAGUAAAAAUAAAAUAGUUUAAUUUUUAUUUAUUUAUAAAUUAUUUAUUUUUUAAACGUAAAACCUUUGACAAGCGUUUGAGAGGAAUGCCCAAAUUUUUAUUUCUUUUUAAUUUCUAUAAUAUUUCUAAAACAUUGUUACUCUUUAAAUGUCAUUUAUGAAAAUCCAAAUUCUAUAUCAACCAGUUUUAAACAUAGAAUCAUGGGUUUUCUUUUAGACUUAUUAAAGACGUAGGAAGAAAAGAUAAUUAUUACUCAGGAUUUUCACUUUCUAAAGUAGUGUUUUCAAAAAAUGGUAAAUGACAAUAUCAUUAUUAAAUGCACAACCAAAUAGUAGAUAAAAUAUUUAGGCUUUGAUUUACAAGUAGAAUCUGGCUGAUUUUGUUAGGGAUGAUUUUGUAAAAUAUUAUAUCAAUGGACGGUUUAGCAUAUCGUAUCAGCUUGAUUCAGAUUAUAUUUUUCCAGAUAAAAUAAAACUUGCUUAUUUCACCCUACAAAACCAUAUAAAAACGAUUGCAAUAUUAUAAGGUAUGCGACCACACCAUUCUGUCUUUUCUACUUUCUGCAAUCUUUAAAUGGUUUAUUCAUGCUUUACAUGCAACUGGACUGCAAUCUACAAAGAGUAUAAUUGUUUGGAGCACUCACACAAAUAGCUUUCUAAGGUUGCAAAAAGAUGGAAAUAUGGUAAUCUAUGGUGAAAAUUACACGGUUGUUUGUUCAGACAGCAUUUACUGGAAAGACAAAUGGAUUACUAGUGCAUUAUGUGUUGAUAACUCUGGACUUGUUGUAGUAUACAACACUGUAGAGCAAACUUGUAUAUGGCAAUCACCAAGAUGAGAAUUUAAAAUCUAGCAUUCACUCUACACAAAUAUGAGAUAGAAGGACAUAAGUUGAUGCUCCAGAAGCUCUUGCGAUGGCGCUUGGAGCAGCCAUGUUUCCAAGCCGAUUAUUGCCAUGAGUUUUACAAGCUCCAAGCAGCGUCAUGUAGGCAAUGGAGCCCGGCUCGAUUGGCAUGCUAUCGAUCACCUCUUGGGCCUCGUCAAGCCGGCCAGUUCGCCCAAACAAAUCGAUCACACACAUGAAAUGCUCCAGGUUUGGAGCUAUGUGAUGAUCGAGCACAAGAGACUGGAAACUAUACUUACCACUCUCAAAGAGCCCGGCAUGGCUACACGCAGAGAGAACACUGACAAACGUGACUUCGUCCGGAUCAAGCCCCUCGAGCUUCAUCCUCCAGAAGAGAUCAAAAGUUUCCUCAAAAUGCCCGUUGUUCGCAUACACCGAGAUGAUUCCAUUCCAUGAAACCACGUCCUGCCUUGUCGUUGCCUCAAACGCCACCUUUGCCCCUCGAAGGUAUCCACACCUCCCAUAAAAGUUGACCACGGCAUUGUUUGUCAUCACAUCGGAUUGAAACCUAGAGUGAUGGAGCUCACCAUGCACAAGCUUUCCCUUUUGGAGAGCGGUGAUCCUCCCAAGGGCGUCAAGAACAGCCAAGAAACUCACCUUGUCCGCCUGGGUGCCUUCCAGAUCCAUUUGGUGGAAGAGCCGAGCAGCACUCUCGCAUUCCCCGGCUUGGACGAAGAUACAAAUCAAGGUGUUCCACGAGACCGUGCUUGGCUCCUCCAUUUUCUCAAAGAUUUCCUUCGCUUUGUGGAUAUGCCCGGCUUGGGCAUGCGCCACCAUAGCUGUGUUGUGCGAGAAGCUGUCCCAGCAGGGCAUCCUUUUCGUGAGAAUCUCCAGAGCCUCGUCCACUCUCCCGUGCUGGAUAUAAGCCGCCGCGAGCGUGUUAAACGAGACCACGUCUGGAGAAGGAAUGGUUUCCUCGAGGAAACUCGCGGCCUUGGCGAGAUGCCCGUUUUGGGCAUAUGAUCUUAGCAAAGAGUUCCACGAGACAGUGGAUGGGUGCUCGAUGCGAUCAAACACUGCCUUGGAUUCCUCCACUCCCUUGCAUUUUCCAUAGCUCGCCACCAGUGAAGUCGCCACGGCGAGAUCGGAGAUCCAGCCAGUGUGAUCCGCCGCUGCGUGAACUUGGCGGCAGUGGGAGAGGCUCGAGAGGCCCGAGCACGCAUCGAGAGCUGCGAGGAACGUCGCGCGGUCGGGUGUUGUGUCGAUCUGCCAGAACAGCGCGAGUGAUUCCUCGCAGUGACCGAGCUGGGCAUAGGCCGCGAUGAUCGAGCUCCACGAACUCGUGUCUCGCUGCUCCAUCCGAUCGAAUACCCGCCUCGCGCUGGCGAGGUGGCCUCUCUGGAGAUACGCGGUGAUCAGCGCGUUGCAUGCCGCGAUAGUGAUCUCUGCCGAGAUCUCGAGCAAGAACAGUGCUUGAUCGAAGUGUCCCUGCUGGGCUUGAGCUCUAGCGACGAUGCUCCACGAGGAAAGAUCUCUCCGGGGCAUUGUCUUGAAAAGGAGCAUCGCUUCGUCGAGGCAUCCAUUGUGAGCAUACGUCGCGAUCAUGGCGUUCCAGAGCUCUCUCCGCCGCUUCUUCUGCUCGAAGACGAGCUCGGCCCUCUCCACUGCACCGGAUCUCCCGAACAUCUUGAUCAAGGAGCAUGAUACUCCGUGAUCGCUACGCAAGGAUCCGCAGGCUUGGCUCAAGUGGAAGAUCCUCUCGCAUCGAUCAGGAUCGCCAAGGCUGCCGCAGGCGUCGAUGGCGAUGAUGUACGUGAGUUUGUUCUUGAGGACGUCCAUUGAAUCGAAAAGGUCUAGAGCUUCUAGCAGAUGCCCAAGAAGGGCAAGUGCUGUGAUCAUCGCGUUCCAGAGAGUGGCGUCCUUGUGGCUUGUUUGAUGAAAUAUCUCAAGCAACAAAACCAUGUCACCUUUCGAAGCAUAAGCUAUGAGAAGUGAUGUUCUUGAACGAAGAUCGUGGGCUGGGAGUCUUUCAUACAAAUCUAUGGACUCCAAAAAAUGCCCUUUUAGGGCAAAUGCUGAGAGUAGAGCGUUCCAGACAGCCAAAUCUCUUUGUUUCAUGCAAUCAAAGAGAUCCUUUGCAUCCUGGAGCCGUUCAUGGCGAGAUGUGGCAUCAAUUAUCGUCGUCCAGGAGAUCACAUCAACGCAAGGCAUUCGGUCGAAGAACUCUCGCGCUUUGCAAAGAUUCCCUGAUUGGGCAUACGCGGAAAGCAUGGCGUUCCAGCAUAUCGCAUUCCUGCCAAUGAUCCGAUCAAAGAAAUGCUCCGCGCUCUCGGCCUCGCCAAUCUUUCCAUAAACCACAACGAGCGCCGUCCCGACAGCGAUCUGGGUGUGAAUUCCCAGCUGGAUUGCUUCCAUGGCAAUCGCCCUUGCCAGAUCUCUAUCCAGCUCUUCGAUCCCGGCAAUGGCAUCGAGAACGCUCACGAAGCUGAUGGAAUCCGGUGCCACGCCCUGGAGAUCCAAGCCCCGGAAAAAUCCCAGCGCCUCUCUGCAAUGCCCAUUCUGGGCAUACGCCGCGAUGAUCGUGUUCCAGGACACAAGAUCUCUCUCCGGCAUGGAAUCGAAGAGCUCCUGCGACCGCGAGAGAUUCCCAGCGCCGGCGUACCCGCUAAUCAGCGCAUUCCAGGAGACCACAUCGCGAUGAGCCAUUCGCGUGAAAACGUCCCUGGCUCUGGCAAGAUCCUCUGUCUGGGCAAAUGCUCGAAGCAAGAUCGUCCACGAGUAGACGUUGUGGCGGGCUGCGCCGCUGUGGAAGACGUUCUCGGCAUCGCGCAGGCUGCCGCAGACGCUGUACAUGUGAAUGACAAGAUUCGCGACGAAUGUGUUGCGAUCCAGGCCUGCCCUGGCGAUCUGCGAGUGGAGAAUCCGCGCCUCCGUGGGAGAUCGGCAUUUUCGGAGUAGUGCCGCCGCAGCAUCUACGCGCAUAGAACCAUAAUGCGUUUUAGGGUUCUAGAAUAUUUUCUUGGGCUGUGCUAUGUUUCUUCGAAUGCUGUCCUUUGUCAGUUUAAAAACUUAGAUUGCUAACCCAUUUAUGAUCAAUUUUUUGUUCUCGGGAGAUAGAUUCAGUUUUGAUCUGAUGUUCGAAUUGAAGAACUGUCCAAGCACUGAGCUGAACCAUCACACUUUCAUUCACACUAGACAUCCAGAAUUGUCACAUGGUUCACAGUUGAAUCAGGUAGCUGAGGUUGACACACAUUGUGCAAGCACAAUUUCUCAAUCUUGAGUAUGAAUUUGGCGUUUGGACAAGGAUUUCUCCCUUUCCUUGAAUCCUUCUACUUUGAUUUUUUCACUAGCACUUGGGCACCACUAAUUUUCAGGAAGUCUCAAGAGAGAAAUUCAUUGUUUCCAUUUAGAUUCUUCUUCCAGCUUGGUUUUCUACUCAACACCAAAUGCUUAGUGUGGAUACCUCGGAGGGGCAAGGUUGGCUUUUGAGGCAACGACAGGGCAGGACGUGGUUUCAUGGAAUGGAAUCAUUGCGAACAACGGUCAUUUUGAUUAAACUUUUGAUCUCUUCUGGAGGAUGAAGCACGAGGGGCUUGAUCCGGACGAAGUUACGAUUGUCAGUUCUCUGUGCAUGUAGCCACGCCCGGCUCUUCGAGAGUGGUAAGCAUAGUUUCCAUUUGCAGGUUAUUGGAUUUAAGUGCUUAGGGUGUUCUCUAAAAUAAACCAUGUGAACUGUGAAUUGGCCGGCUUGACGAGGUCCAAGAGGUGAUCAAUAGCAUGCCAAUCGAGCCGGGCUCCAUUGCCUACAGGAGCUUGUAAAACUCAUGGCAAUAAUCGGCUUGGAAACAUGGCUGGUCCAAGCGCCAUCGCAGAGCUUAUGGAGCAUCAACUUAUGUCCUUCUAUCUCAUAUUUGUGUAGAGUGAAUACUAGAUUUUAAAUUCUCAUAUUGGUGAUUGCCAUAUACAAGUUUGCUCUACAGUGUUGCAUACUAUAACAUGUCCAGAGUUAUCAACACAUAAUGCACUAGUAAUACAUUUGUCUUUCCGGUAAAUGCUGUACGACCAGACAACCAUGUAAUUUUCAUCAUAGAUUACCAUAUUUCCAUCUUUUUGCAACCUUAGAAAGCAUCCAUUGCCUUUGUUAUUUGUGUGAGUACUCCAAACAAUUACACUCUUUGUAUGUAAAACUAGAUUGCAGUCCAGUUGCAUGUCAAGCAUGAAUAAACCAUUUAGAGAUUUCAGAAAGUUCCCAUUUGAUAAUGUGGAAAAGACAGAAUGGUGUGGUCCAUUUCUUGCAUACCUUAUAAAAUCGUUUUUAUGUGGUUGUAAGUAAGCUUUACUUUAUAUGUGGAAAAAUAUAAUCUGAAUCAAGCUGAUAUGAUAUGGUAAAUCGUCCAUUGAUAUAUUCUGCCAAUUCAAAUUUUACAAAAUCAUCCAUAACAAAACCAACCAUCAUAUCAAAUCAGGAAAGGUAUUCCAUCUACUAUUUGGUUGUGCAUUUAAAAAUGAUAUUGUCAUAUUUAAGGAUUUAAAUUUUUUCAAAAACACUGAGUAAUAAUUAUCUUUUCUUCCUACUUCUUUAAUAAGAUCUUUAAGAAAAACCAUGAUUCUAAAGUGGUUUUCAUAAUUGGCAUUUAAAGAACAACAAUGUUUUAGUAAUAAUAUUUAUGUAUUAUAGAUAUUAAAAAGAAAAAAUUAGGCAAAUAUUCCGUUUUAAACUUUUUGGUUUGCUUAAGCUGGUACUGGAUAUACCUAGAAUAUUCUAGAAUAUUCUACCAUUUAACGGUUGUUAUUCAUGUAUUUGUAAUUUAUAAACAUGUUUAUAAUUUAUUAAAUUUCUUUAAAACUUUCUAAUAUAUUCUUUUUAUUUUACCAUCUAAUGAUUGAUAUGCAAUACUUAAUCUUGUAUUUAUAAAUUAUAAACAUGUUUAUAAUUAUAAAUUUUUAUUUGGUCAAUUGGAUUAAUAAGUACUAUUAAGAAAAUCAAGCAUUGCUACAUGCAACACGUAGCAAAUUAUUUAUUUUACUUAACUAAACUAAAAUAAAUAAAUUAAGCUAGACUAAACUAAACUUUAUUAACUUCUUAAAAUUCUCAUUGCUCAAAGAAUUUUAGGGCACUCUUGAGUCAUUGCAGGGUGCCGCCUUGGAUCCGGCUGGAUGCACCACACUCCAAUGCAAAGUAGCUUCUUGGCCUUAGAGGUAGCCUCCAUUUCCUGCCGCACCUUCUUCCUCUUCUAACAUCUCCAUUAACUUCCCAGAUCGAAGCUUCUCAUGCCGCCAGGAACUUUGGGCUCCUCCCGCAAGACACACAGGUAUGGAAAGCUUGUAGUCCGGUAGCCACUUCCAGCACAAGGCAAAGCUGUAGACGUCCAGUUUGUCACUCACUUUCAUCUGCAACCAUUCCGGAGCCUCAUUGGCAUGACAUCGCUUAGAUCUCCUUGCUCUACCAUCCUCCACCUCGACAGUCCAACGUCUGCUAUCUUGACACCAAAGUUCUCAGCCAGGAGUGUGUUUUGGGGAUUGAUAGCCAAGUGGAGGACUCUAGUGCUGCAUUCCUCAUGGAGGAAGCAAAUUCCACGAGCAAUCUCUCGACUAUCCUGAAUCUCGUGUCCCAGUUGUGCUCUUCUCGCGACUUGUAGAUCUACUUGUCUAGGGAUCCGUACUUGUAAACCAGGAAGUGGUGUGAUUCCUGGGCAUUGGGAUUUUUCGGCGCUGGGAUUUUUCCGGGGCUUGGAUCUCGAGGGCGUGGCACCGGAUUCCAUCAGCUUCGUGAGCGUUCUCGAUGCCAUUGCCGGGAUCGAGGAGCUGGAUAGAGAUCUGGCAAGGGCGAUUGCCAUGGAAGCAAUCCAGCUGGGAAUUCACACCCAGAUCGCUGUCGGGACGGCGCUCGUUGUGGUUUAUGGAAAGAUUGGCGAGGCCGAGAGCGCGGAGCAUUUCUUUGAUCGGAUCAUUGGCAGGAAUGCGAUAUGCUGGAACACCAUGCUGUCCGCGUAUGCCCAAUCAGGGAAUCUUUGCAAAGCGCGAGAGUUCUUCGACCGAAUGCCUUACGUUGAUGUGAUCUCCUGGACGACGAUAAUUGAUGCCACAUCUCGCCAUGAACGGCCUCAGGAGGCAAAGGAUCUCUUUGAUUGCAUGAAACAAAGAGAUUUGGCUGUCUGGAACGCUCUACUUUCAGCAUUUGCCAAAAAGGGGCAUGUUUUGGAGUCUAUAGAUUUGUAUGAAAGACUCCCAGCCCACGAUCUUCGUUCAAGAACAUCACUGCUCAUAGCUUAUGCUUCGAAAGGUGACAUGGUUUCGUUGCUUGAGAUAUUUCAUGAUAACAUUUGAUAAUGAUGACUAAUACGCUCAUAAGCAUUUGUGAAAACUUUAAACCGUCUUUACAACCUUGAUUAUCAGAUUGACAUCUCAUUAGUCGAUGGCAUCUUUCAUAUUGUCUCUCUUGUGCAUAAGGAGGAAAAACUUAAACCAAUCAUAGGUUAUAUUCGAGCCGUUCAUUAGCUAUCUAAUUAUAAAAUUAUAGUCUCUAGCAUAUCCGUUAACAACAUUUACUAAUUAAAAUUUAACGUUACUAAUUUAGAGUUAGUCGUUAAACAUUUAAUGUGGGCGUGACUAAACGCGCCAGAGGAAGUGAGGAGUGAAGAGAGGGGAGGAAGUGAGGAGUGAGCAUGGCAAAGGGGCAACCACGUAAGAGAGGAGGGUGCUGUAUUAUGCAUUUCUCCCGAGAUCUUUCCUCGUGGAGCAUCGUCGCUAGAGCUCAAGCCCAGCAGGGACACUUCGAUCAAGCACUGUUCUUGCUCGAGAUCUCGCCAGAGAUCUCUAUCGCGGCAUGCAACGCGCUCCGCGUACCUCCAGAGAGGCCACCUCGCCAGCGCGAGGCGGGUAUUCGAUCGGAUGGAGCAGCGAGACACGAGUUCGUGGAGCUCGAUCAUCGCGGCCUAUGCCCAGCUCGGUCACUGCGAGGAAUCACUUGCGCUGUUCUGGCAGAUCGACACAACACCCGGCCGCGCGACGUUCCUCGCAGCUCUCGAUGCGUGCUCGGGCCUCUCGAGCCUCUCCCACUGCCGCCAAGUUCACGCAGCGGCGGAUCACACUGGCUGGAUCUCCGAUCUCGCCGUGGCGACUUCACUGGUGGCGAGCUAUGGAAAAUGCAAGGGAGUGGAGGAAUCCAAGGCAGUGUUUGAUCGCAUCGAGCACCCAUCCACUGUCUCGUGGAACUCUUUGCUAAGAUCAUAUGCCCAAAACGGGCAUCUCGCCAAGGCCGCGAGUUUCCUCGAGGAAACCAUUCCUUCUCCAGACGUGGUCUCGUUUAACACGCUCGCGGCGGCUUAUAUCCAGCACGGGAGAGUGAACGAGGCUCUGGAGAUUCUCACGAAAAGGAUGCCCUGCUGGGACAGCUUCUCGCACAACACAGCUAUGGUGGCGCAUGCCCAAGCCGGGCAUAUCCACAAAGUGAAGGAAGUCUUUGAGAAAAUGGAGGAGCCAAGCACGGUCUCGUGGAACACCUUGAUUUGUAUCUUCGUCCAAGCCGGGGAAUGCGAGAGUGCUGCUCGGCUCUUUCACCAAAUGGAUCUGGAAGGCACCCAAGCGGACAAGGUGAGUUUCUUGGCUGUUCUUGACGCCCUUGGGAGGAUCACCGCUCUCCAAAAGGGAAAGCUUGUGCAUGGUGAGCUCCAUCACUCUAGGUUUCAAUCCGACGUGAUGACAAACAAUGCCGUCGUCAACUUUUAUGGGAGGUGUGGAUGCCUUCGAGGGGCAAAGGUGGCGUUUGAGGCAACGACAAGGCAGGACGUGGUUUCAUGGAAUGGAAUCAUCUCGGUGUAUGCGAACAAUGGUCAUUUUGAGGAGACUUUUGAUCUCUUCUGGAGGAUGAAGGAUUUCUUGUUCAAGCUCCCUAAGAAUACUUUAACUCUGGUCAUGCAAUCUUGGGUCGUGGGCCGAAUGGGAUCGCGGCAACAUUGAUGGUUCAUGCUGGAUGGAUAACACUAACAAGUUUCAUUCAGCGUAGAUUUCCAUCAGCCUAGUAGUGACAUUCCCUUCAUUUCUGAAUAGUAGCUAAUUAGCUUAAGCAUGGACGUCCCACGCGAUGCAUGCAGGCAUUGCCCAGCAGCAGCGCAUAUAAACCGAUGCAAGCUUGAAAUUGUAGCUCUCAAGUUUCAGUUCAAGAAAAAUGGCGAAAUUGCUUGUUCUUUCCUCCCUCCUCUUCGGCCUGCUGCUCUUGGCGGCCGAUGCAUCUCAGCGUACGUGCGAACUUCUGCAUUGCAAUUUCAAGAUUCUUGCUCUCUAAUCUGUGGAAUCCAUGUGUAGCGGUUGACAAGGAGAGCACCAGUGAGAAUUACAAUGUCAUUGUCGAGGGACCUCGUGAAGGCAGCGAGGCUGGCCCUGGUCUCAACAACGUUGUCACCCAGGAGCCCCCUGGAAGCACGGUAUGAUCAGGAGCUUUUGAUUAUGCGCCACUGUUUCUCCGUUUGUUAAUGCUGUAGGCCUCCAAGAUACAUACUGCUGCCUGAAGGAUGGUUUCGGAUCAUGUCUUCAGGAGUGCGACUCGGGCGUCAAGUACUACUGCUGCCUCAAGAAUGGAGUCGGCAGCUGCCUGCAACUCUGCGACCCCAAAGUCAAUUACUUCUGCUGCCUCAAGAAUGCAUUUCGCAGCUGUUUGCAGCUGUGCGACUUGUCCAAGAAACACUACUGCUGCAAGACGAACGUUUCUGGUUCCUGCGUUGGACUGUGCCCCAAAACGGUGAAUCUGAUGUGAUUUUGCUUGAUGAACAUGUGUGAAUGCAUUCAAAGAAUAAAUUGCUUCUGUGACAACCUUUCACUUUAACAAAACACCAUUUGCCAUCAGUGUAAAACAAUAUAAUCAUCUUCUGGGCUUGGCGCCACCAUUGCCUUUGCUCGCAGGCUUGCCACCUUUGCCUCUGUUCGCAGGCUUGCCACGUUUGCCUUUGCUCGCACCUUUGCCACCCGUCUUACCACCUUUUCCACCGCCUUUGCCAGGCUUGCCACUUCCUCGGGAUCGUGAGUCCUUCUUCAUGCGACGAUCCACCACAAGCUUCCCUUUGCCACCCUUGACCCUCACGCCCUUCUUCGCCACAACGAGCUCCCGCUUGGGACGCUUAUUGGUCGUCGCCGCCGCUUUCUUGUAAACCUUGUCCAUCAUCCUGUUCUUGGACUUGUUCGAGAUGUCCGGCUGAUCGGCAAUCGCCGCCGCUCUGCUUCGUGCUUGCUCCAUUUUCUUCAUCACCCUCCGCUUCUUGCGAGCCUUGGCCUCAGCAACCUUCUUCACGGGCCUGGCGUCUAUCGCUCUAAACUGCGCCCUCAUCGCCUGGACCUCUUCCUUGGUGAAUGGCUUCUGAAUCUUGCAGUGCCGCUUCUCGUCGUCCGCGAACCAUUCCGGGAGCCCCUCGUCGUCGAACAUGUACUUGUUGUAGGCGUCGUCGAUGAUCCUGUCUCUGUCCUUCUUCCGCAGCAUCUUCUUGGCGUAAGUGAGGAUCUCUGCCUUGGCGUCGCUGUCGUAGUCCUCCUCUUCGUCCGAGGAAGAGUCGGACGAACCACUCGGCUCGGCUGCUACAACCUCAAAGUCUUCCCGUGCUCUCUUGAGCUUUCCUGGCGCAACCGUGACAUCGCUCGGAGGAGCGUCCUUGGCAGUCUUGUCCUUGUUGGUAUCCGUCUCCGGGGUUUGAUCUAAACCGGCGAAGAUGUCUUGACUGAACCAUUGCUGUGCAAUCUGUUCCUUCGAGAGCUUGGCCUUGGGAAGCGACACGACCAGAGGAUUGGCCUCCUCCUCCUCCUCUUCUUCUACUUCGUUUUCUUCUUCCUCAGAAGCAUUCUCUUCCACGUCCUCCUAAGGAUAUUGUCAGCUGCUUGCAAGUUCUAGCACUUUCAUUUGGCUUACCUCCCACAGCUUUUCGUCUCCUGCGUUAGCCAUUCUUGCGCGUUUCCGCCGUGCAGUGUUGCUUUCAGUCUUGCUCCGGUAGCGUUCGUAUGCACGAUCGAGGAAAGAUUCCAGCUCGUCGUUGUAUCUGCGAGAGAUUACGUUAACACUUCAAGGCGUAGUUCUUACCUUUCGCGCUCGACGUCAGAAUCCACAUCAUUGUCUUCGUCAUCCUUCCGCUCCAUGUCCUGCUUACUCGUUUCAUCCUUCACAUUGUCAUCGCUGUCCAACAUGUCGUCAUCCGCAUCUUCCACCCGAUCCAAGCUUUUCUUCGCCUGGAAAAGUGUCCAACAUGAGCUCCUAGGCACAGACGAGAAAGCGGACAAACAAACCUUGAUUGAGCCCAAAGAGAACAGAUCCCGCUCGCCAUAAGUGUCUCCCAAGACAUCGACUUGCAUCCCUGUUCUAUUUCGUGCGUUUAGCUGCAGUGUUGUGGCCCAUCAACAUACACAACAACAAAAGAUAGACAAACAAUAUGUACCUUCUGUUUACGCUUGGCAGCCUUCUUCUUCGCCUGCUUGCUUUUCGAAUCCAUUAGAGACUUGAGCUCCUCCAUUUUCUUUAGCAUAUCCUCGUCUUCAUCUUCUUUUUCGUCGUCAUCCUUUUCAGCAGCCUUAUCACCCUCUGUUUCCUCCGAAGCUGACGUUUUCGAAAGAGCUUUUCGUACAUGCAGGCACCACCUGAGAGAACCAAAUGAGCAUGAAAGACAACAGCCACGAGAAGUAGAACCUACUUCAAAAGUUGCUUGAAUUCUUUCUUCCCCAGAACUCUAAGGUCUUCGCAUAAUGCUUUUAUCUACAAGAAAAAAAGUCCUCCAAAUCAAAACAAGCAAACGAGGAUUAGAUAUGAACGUACCUCGUCAGUUGUUUCAGCGUGGUCUUUGAUUGGCGAACUUUUCGGAUCCUCAAACGAAAUAGACGUGAUGCUACCAAGAAGCUCUAGAGGUUUUUCGGACCAGACGAAGUCUGCUGCCGUGCAGUCUUUACGAAAAGUAGUGUUUGCGUCAUCGUAUCUGCAGAAAAUAAAAAACAUAAAACCAAGAGUCUAUUUGACGUGAGAACCCACCCCUCGCGGUGACGUUUCUGUUUACUACUACGAAGAACGUCGAUCACCUACACAAUUUACUCGGCUUUAGCGCAAGCACCUUGUUUACAAUAACAAAACCCACCUUUGGGGGCUGAGGAAUCUCUUCAAAUAAAAAGCGAGGGUCCAAGUUACGCGGAUCGAUUUUCACGGGUGCCAGAUACUUGAGACCAACCACGUAUAUUUCAGCUGAUGUCGAACGACUUGCUAUGGGUUUCGUGACUUCCACCUUGGCAAACAGCUACCAAACGAUACAAGAGGCAAUGAAAUAUCACUCAAAAAACCAUGACAAACAUACCUGUUCAAAUGCAUACUUCAGCGCGUUAUAAUCUUGGGAUCGAAAAACCUGCAAGAAAAACCAAUUUUGGGAAUCAGAGAAGAAGGAAAAAUUCAAAAAUGGAGGAAGAAGAAGAAUUCUUCGUACCUUGGUGACAAACGUUCCUUUGGGAGCCAGAAACUUGGUAGCCAACUUCAAAGAAUCCAGGACAAGAGACGACUGCGUCAUGGCUUCUUUGGCCCAGGCACCUCCCACAUUGGGGGAGCCAUCGUGGAGCACAACAUCGACCAUCCUCAACCCGUUCUGGUCGAGAAUCUUCCCAAUAUCCGACGCGCAUUUUGGAGUGGUGAUAUCGCCCUGGAGCGACAGCGCCCCUCUCACGGGACGAAUCGGCACCAGAUCCACGCCGAUUACCACAGACCUCACGGGCAUCUUCUCCACGGCCACCUGCAUCCAUCCCCCGGGCGCCGCGCACAAAUCCAGCACCGAGUGCGCCGAGCUGAGGAAGCCAUACUUGCGAUCGAGCUGCACGAGCUUGAAUGCGGCACGGGAGCGGUAGCCCUGCUCCUUGGCGAGGUAGUAGAAGCGAUCCAAGCGGUGCUUCCCCUUCUUCGCCUUCCCCAUCCCUGCAAGACCUUCGAGGAACCCUAAAACCCCACUUUAGGUUUACAAGAAAUAUUCUGGUGGAUAUUCGAGCGCUUUUAAAAUGAGUCAGUCGACAUUGGAUACAAGCAAAUCACAUUCAUAAAGUCUUCCCUUCUUGGGUGAUAUGCUAGUUAUUUAUCUUAAGCAUGCAUCGCGUGGGGAUGGGGACGCCCACGCGAUGCAUGCAGGCAUUCCUCCUUUAUAAACAGAUGCAAAACCUUGUAUUGUCAAGCAUAAUAUUUCUGAUUUCAGUUCAAGGAGAAUGGCCAAAGUUCUUCUUUCCGCCCUCCUCUUUGGCCUGCUGCUCUUCGUAGUGGAUGCAUCUCGCAACACUCAGCGUACGUGCAAACACUUCCGCAUUCUUGCAAAUUGUUUCUCUAACCUGUAGAAUGGCUCUAGUGACUGGCAGGGAGAGCGAUGUGACUUACGUCAUCGAUGGGCCUCGUGAAGGUAACCAGGCUGCUGAUCUCAAUGUUAUCAUCCAGAACACCCCGAAACACGGUAACUUAAAUCACGUUAUGAUCUUCCUUGUUGUGAUCAUGAGCUGUCCUUGUGACAUUGAUUAUGCCACUGCUUUUCCGCUUUUGAUGCUUGCAGGCCUCCAAGAUACAUACUGCUGCCUGAGGAACGGCUUUGGAUGUGUUCAGGAGUGCGACUCCAACAUCAAAUACUACUGCUGCCUGAAGAAUGGAUUCGGAUGCCAACAGUUCUGCGAGGAAAACGUUAAUUAUUUCUGCUGCCUCAAGAAUGGAUUUGGCAGCUGCCAGCAGCUCUGCGACUCGUCCAAGGAACACUACUGCUGCAAAAAGAACGGCUUUGGGAGCUGCACUGGAAUGUGCCCCAAAACCGUGGACCUGAUGAAGUGAUCUGCGUUUGAUGAAAAGUGUA